rnacentral:rRNA from 1 species
GACGAACGCUGGCGGCGUGCCUAUCACAUGCAAGUCGAGCGAAUGAAGUUCCUUCGGGAACGGAUUUAGCGGCGGACGGGUGAGUAACACGUGGGCAACCUGCCUCAUAGAGGGGAAUAGCCUUCCGAAAGGGAGAUUAAUACCGCAUAAGAUUGUAGUACCGCAUGGUACAGCAAUUAAAGGAGCAAUCCGCUAUGAGAUGGGCCCGCGGCGCAUUAGCUAGUUGGUGAGGUAACGGCUCACCAAGGCGACGAUGCGUAGCCGACCUGAGAGGGUGAUCGGCCACAUUGGGACUGAGACACGGCCCAGGCUCCUACGGGAGGCAGCAGUGGGGAAUAUUGCACAAUGGGGGGAACCCUGAUGCAGCAACGCCGCGUGAGUGAUGACGGCCUUCGGGUUGUAAAGCUCUGUCUUCAGGGACGAUAAUGACGGUACCUGAGGAGGAAGCCACGGCUAACUACGUGCCAGCCGCCGCAGUAACAC